AGAGUUUGAUCCUGGCUCAGAGCGAACGCUGGCGGCAGGCCUAACACAUGCAAGUCGAACGAACUCUUCGGAGUUAGUGGCGGACGGGUGAGUAACACGUGGGAACGUGCCUUUUGGUUCGGAAUAACUCAGGGAAACUUGUGCUAAUACCGAAUGUGCCCUUCGGGGGAAAGAUUUAUCGCCAUUAGAGCGGCCCGCGUCUGAUUAGCUAGUUGGUGAGGUAAAGGCUCACCAAGGCGACGAUCAGUAGCUGGUCUGAGAGGAUGAUCAGCCACAUUGGGACUGAGACACGGCCCAAACUCCUACGGGAGGCAGCAGUGGGGAAUCUUGCGCAAUGGGCGAAAGCCUGACGCAGCCAUGCCGCGUGAAUGAUGAAGGUCUUAGGAUUGUAAAAUUCUUUCACCGGGGACGAUAAUGACGGUACCCGGAGAAGAAGCCCCGGCUAACUUCGUGCCAGCAGCCGCGGUAAUACGAAGGGGGCUAGCGUUGCUCGGAAUUACUGGGCGUAAAGGGAGCGUAGGCGGACAUUUAAGUCAGGGGUGAAAUCCCGGGGCUCAACCUCGGAAUUGCCUUUGAUACUGGGUGUCUUGAGUAUGAGAGAGGUAUGUGGAACUCCGAGUGUAGAGGUGAAAUUCGUAGAUAUUCGGAAGAACACCAGUGGCGAAGGCGACAUACUGGCUCAUUACUGACGCUGAGGCUCGAAAGCGUGGGGAGCAAACAGGAUUAGAUACCCNNGUAGUCC
rnacentral:rRNA from 1 species